CACGCGUAGGCGGUUUCGCCCGCUGUUUUUGCUCGUGUGUGUGUUUCUUGUCCUGCGGCAUCAUGAGCGACGACAGAUCACAUAUGUCGUUCGCAAUAGUUCAUUUCCUUGACCGUGACGAGGUGGGGAUUGUACCAGUUUCUUGGAUCCAUGGAAACACUUGCAAGUGGCCAAACCUGCCCACUCACAUCGUUGAUAAGAAAGUAAAGAAAGGAUUGCCUCCUGGUGAAGAUUCUGACGACAUCGAAAUUCAAGUUAAAGGGCUAUUCAUGAGCUGGGGAGAAGCACGCAAGAUGCUGCCCGCUGCAGAAUAUCAUUCGGACUUGAACGAGAGCAGAUUGCCCCCCAAGCGAAUCAGGCGUCCAAGAAUGGUGUACAGUGAUGAGGAUGACGACUAUGAUUUUCCGCCUGUCCCA